rnacentral:rRNA from 6 species
UAAACGACUCUCGGCAACGGAUAUCUCGGCUCUCGCAUCGAUGAAGAACGUAGCGAAAUGCGAUACUUGGUGUGAAUUGCAGAAUCCCGUGAACCAUCGAGUCUUUGAACGCAAGUUGCGCCCGAAGCCGUCAGGCCGAGGGCACGUCUGCCUGGGCGUCACG